CUGUUGAUAACUAUAUGACCUACAAGAAAGUAACACUCAUAUGAUUUAUGCUGACGUUCAUGUCAUUGAAUUUGGGUCUGGGUAGAUGUAAUUUAAUAAAAUUGUACACAUUAGCGAAAAAAAAAAAAGAAGUUUGACUGCCUGUUUAAACAAACCAUUAAUCGUGCAAGAAAAUAGAAAGGCGGAGCAACGUCGCCUGACUGCCGCUUACUGAUUACGUCAUUUACGCGGGAACUCUUCGCGCGCAGAGCUUCAUUCACUCAAUCCACAGCAAAGGUGCAGCGUCUCAUGCAUCUCAUGUUUUGCUAAUAUAGUUGCAAAAUUUAGAAAUUUCGUGGCAUUCAUUUUAAAGUAUGAAUUUGGAUUGCUUAGUUAGUUUUGUGAGUUGAAGGGGCUGAAGAUGCAUCUAUGGAAUACAUUUUAUUCAACGCAUUUUGGAUGUUCCGCUUUGUAUUUAAUUUAUUUGAAAAGCAGAAACAAAUCGGAUGACAAUGAGGGGACGCUCUUUUGCUUGAAGUUCCCAGGUCCACUUGGAUUCAAUGCAUGCUAGAAGCAGUCCUCCGAGUCCUCAUGUGUGGCUGUGGAGAGUCAGGGGAAGAUCAGGCUAAUUUUCCUGUGCAGGAAACAACUCGGGCCUUGGAAACACCUAUAAACCAGAGUUCUGUACGGCCCUGGUAUUGAAGGAUGUUUUUCCUGACGCAUCACCCUGUCGACCACCAGUGAACCAUUCAAGGGGGACCCAGUUGUAAGUUGUGCUGUUCAGGUUGCAAUGCAGAGCACAUCGGAGUCAUCCUACUACAUGUGCCUUCUGACUAUUACACCUCUGCAAACUGUAAUAACCUGAGUCACCUUCCAUCACCAACAAAUCUGGAAGAAUUCCAUCAUGUGCUAUGCAGGAUAUGUGCAAAAUGUCCAGUGAAGUAUGCCAAAUUAUGCCAACAGCUGUUGACACCAAUGUAUGAAAUGAUAGACAUUCUGGAACAUGAAAAAACAUGGCAUUGUCUUAUGUCUUGCAGCUAGCAACAGAAAGGCUAUGAUGAAUUUUUAGCUAUGAGGUACUUUUAUUUGAAAGCAUUGGGCUACUGAUCAGAAGGUUGAGAGUUCAAAUCCCAGCACCAUCAAGUGUGAGCCAAUUAAGCAAAAUGGAAAAGUACCAAUGGCUGUAUGUAUCAGGGAUAUUAGUUAGGGUCUAGUUGAAUAACAUUCCUUUACAAACAUCUAUCAACUAACAUUACUGAAUGGUGGCAACUGUUACCCUUUAAUGAUUAGCCAUUAAUAAUUAGUUCAUUAGUACUUGGUUCAAUCCAAAGAUGGGGUCUUCAGUGGGUUAUGACUAUAACAUUCUUUACUUACCCCCAACAUUAGUUUUGCCUGGUGCAUGCCAUCUCAGAAUAGUAUUCAAAAAACAAUUAACAUUCUUCAGAUAUCUUCAGAUACAGAGGUCACAGAAAAUACGGUGGAUAGACUAACAGAAAACAUGUGUCCCUUUUCUGUACAUAUGUAGAUGUGCUUGGCAAUUCUUGACAUCAUCUCACUGUCUGCUUUUUUUGCACUUUUUAUCUGAUAAUGCAAUUUCAUUCUUGCACUUUUAUAAUGUACAUUUUCUGCUUUUACAGUGUUUGCUGAAUUUUAACUGUAGCACUUAAUUCUAUAGCAUUUACUCACAUUGUUUACCUGCAUUAGUUUUUGUUCUGUAAUAAAUUUUAAGGAAUUAAGCUGGUUAAUUUAUAUGGCCCUAUUGCUGCAAAUUGUCUUGAUUUUAGACAAGUGUAUUUGUGAAAUUUUGCAGCAGUAAGGUGGCCUACCCAUUGCAUUUUGAGGAAAAAAGAAAAUGCGAAAUAAUACUGUAUUGAUUGAUGAAUUUUUAAUUUUCAUGUUUAAUUUUAUGUUUUCACCAUCAUUGUAAAUUAAGCUUCUGUUUUCUGCUGCCCUUAUUUAUCCGUCCUUUAUUGUGUAAAUAUUUGCGUAGGCCAAACUAAAAAACUAAACAUAGAGCUAGAUGCCUAUGGGUACUGAUGCACUGCGGUUCUUUUGCCAUUUUUUUGUUGUCCUAAUUCAAUGGCCUUAUUUGUUUUCAUUUGUAUUUUUAAUUUUUUUUGGUUUGCUUUAAUUUAAAUCUGAAAUCACCGAUUUUCACAAAAGCAUUAAAUCUGUGUGUAAUUGAAAUAAAUAAACUAUUUAAAGUUGAUAAUAUAUUUUAUAUAUAAAACUGUGCAAACUCAUGCAAUCGGAAGUGAGUUUAUUUAUAGCUAAAUUUACACAAAAUCUGGAACUCUCAUAGAAUACAAAUAGUUUUCUGAAAUAACUUGAUUUUUAUGAAUACUAAUUUUUUUUAUGUAAUAGCUCUGCAAUUCAAAAACAAAUUUGUUUGUACCCAGGUUGAUAAAAGAGGCCCUGUGUGUUUUUUAAUGUACAGUAAUGUAUUUUUUUUUAAACAUAUCAAAUGCAUAGUUAAAUUAGUGUAAAUGUAACUUCUUAAUAAAACAAUUUUGAUAUGUUACUGGAGCAGUGUGUUCUAUAAAAACCUUAACUUACAUUAAAGACAUACUCUACUGUCUAGGAAUGUCCCACAAAAAUGCAUCGUACACCCAACAAAGUGAAUUGCAUUUCACAUCAAUUGCCUCUACAGAGUUUGUGUAAUGGAUAUUCAGAGUCAGUUUUGCCCCCACUGCCUUGGUGGGAUUCUCUCAAAAUAAAUUAUUGCAUUCAAAUGGCAGACAUUCCUUCAUUUUGUAUGGAUAACUGAUAAACCUAUGCUAAUAUUUCUACAUUUUAAUAAAUAAGUAAAAUAAUGACUAACAAAUCCUUCUACACUGGCCAUGAGUUUAACUGUUGCAGCAAAUGCUUCUGUGAGCACACACUGUGGUUACUUGGAAAACACAUUAGAAAUUACUCUUGACCCUGAGACUAAGAAAUCUGAUCCCAUAUUGAUUUUUUUAGUUAAUGUACAAAUCUCCACUUAACAGCCAGACAACUCCUGCCCAGCUGAAAGCCCACUUACACACAACUAGUAAUCUUGUAAUCAAUGUUUUGUCUGCAUUUGAACCCUUGUACUCAUAUCAUAAUCACAUUUCAGGCAAAGCUUAGUAGAAUCAGAUAAAUAUUCAUAAAUAUUCAUAACGUCAUUAUUAAAUGUAAAGGAUUGCACAAACAACUUAGCUUCCUGAAUCUUCCUGUUAUAGCUAGUCUGUGUGAUAACAUUUGGAAAGUUUGAUCAGAUCAUAGCACUGGUUUCAUUUAGCUUGAAUAAUUUAAACAUUGAAAUUAGCGUCGCAAAUACCUUGUUGAAUUACAGGAUUGAUCCAGUUGGAUUGUGUCAGAUAAUGCUGCAUGACAUGUUUAGGGAGACCUUAAAAGAGAAAGAAUUUUGUAUGGAUAAACUUAGAACACAUAUUUUGGAAAAAUCAGUCUAAUUAAUCAAUUUAAUCCAUCACAGCUCCAAAGUCUCCUGUUCAAUCCUAAACCCAGGUUACUGUGUGUAUGUGUGUGUGUGUGGAGUUUCUGUGCAUGGUCUCCCCAUAUCCACCCGAGUUUCUUCCAGGUUCUCUGGUUUUCUCCCACUUCCCAAAAACAUGCUAGUAGGUGGACUGGUUAAGAUACAUUGUCCCUAGGAGUGAAUGAGUGUGUGAAUAUGUGUGUGCCUUGUGCCCUGUGAUGGACUGGCAUCUCCUCCAGUGUGUGUUCCCGCCUCAGGGUCCUCAAGAUCCAUCACAAUCCUGACCAUGAUAAAGUGCUUACUGAAAGUGAGCGAGUAGCCAACUAAACAACUAGCAGGAAAAUAUAUUUUACACAAUGCUUUGGAGCUGAAAGCACAGUCACUCGGGCCUGUCCUAACUAUAGCCUUGUCCGAAUCAGCACACUGGUUAAUGUCCAUCUAUCCAUUUUCCCUACCGCUUAUCCUACACAGGGUCAUGGGGGAGCCUGGAGCCUAUCCCAGGGAACUCGGGGCACGAGGUGAAGGACACCCUUGACACACUACUGGCAUGCCCAUUAGCCUACAACACAUGUUACGGAGUACCCAGAGGAAACCCCCUGAAGCAGGGGAGAACACAAGGUACACAAGGCAGAGGCAGGAUUCAAACCCCCAACCCUUGAGGUGCGAGGCAAAUGCGCUAACUCCGUUGGUUAGCACACUAAGCCAUUGUGCCAACCAGUGGUUAAUGUCAGAAGCAGAAUUAUUUUGCAGUUCUAUUUAUGCAGCAGAAUGGGUCCCUGGAAGGCUAGUGGUUUGGCCACAGCACUCUCACUGCAGCCUGGGUUCAAUUCCUGGCCAGGGAACCGACCCCAGGCUUGCGUGCAACAGUGUGCUCUCAGUGCCAGUCCCAAGCCCAGAUAAAAAGUGGGGAGUGUUGCAUCUGGUGUAGAAACUGUGCCAUGUCAAAUACGCGGACCAGUGACCUGCUGUGGUAACCCCUAAUGGGUUGCAAGCUAUACAGUGCAUC